rnacentral:rRNA from 1 species
UACAGAGGGGGCAAGCGUUGUUCGGAAUUACUGGGCGUAAAGGGCGCGUAGGCGGCCUUCUAAGUCGAACGUGAAAUCCCCGGGCUCAACCCGGGAACUGCGUCCGAUACUGGAAGGCUUGAAUCCGGGGAGAGGGAUGCGGAAUUCCAGGUGUAGCGGUGAAAUGCGUAGAUAUCAGGAGGAACACCGGUGGCGAAGGCGGGUCUCUGGGCCGAUACUGACGCUGAGGAGCGAAAGCGUGGGGAGCAAACAGG